rnacentral:rRNA from 1 species
GACGAACGCUGGCGGCGUGCUUAACACAUGCAAGUCGAACGGAAAGGCCCUGCUUUUGUGGGGUGCUCGAGUGGCGAACGGGUGAGUAACACGUGAGUAACCUGCCCUUGACUUUGGGAUAACUUCAGGAAACUGGGGCUAAUACCGGAUAGGAGCUCCUGCUGCAUGGUGGGGGUUGGAAAGUUUCGGCGGUUGGGGAUGGACUCGCGGCUUAUCAGCUUGUUGGUGGGGUAGUGGCUUACCAAGGCUUUGACGGGUAGCCGGCCUGAGAGGGUGACCGGCCACAUUGGGACUGAGGUACGGCCCAGACUCCUACGGGAGGCAGCAGGGGGGAAUAUUGCACAAUGGGCGGAAGCCUGAUGCAGCAACGCCGCGUUCGGGAUGACGGCCUUCGGGUUGUAAACCGCUUUCGCCUGUGACGAAGCGUGAGUGACGGUAAUGGGUAAAGAAGCACCGGCUAACUACGUG